UUUUUCAAAAUUUGAAAUUUUAUCUCCAAAACCUCACUUCUCAACUCUAAACCCUAAAACCUAAACUCUAAACCCUAAACCAUAAAUUCUAAACCCUAAACCCCACCCCUUGAGUGCUAUUUUUGUGACUUUUGGCCUUGAGUGCUAGUUUGGGAACAAAAACUUGAUUUAGUGCUAUUUUGGUCUUUUUCUCUAUAUAUUUCGUGAAAAACAUAUUUUGUAUACCCAAGUUAUUUUACAUAACUAUCUCCUGCCAUGAGUUAUUUUAUAUCUUACAUAACCAUGUUUUUUUCUAUAAUAAUGUAUCAUUUAGCCGCUUUAACCAAGUGGUUUAUGAGACCAUCUCCUAUUAUGUGAACUACAAUGCAUCAAAUCGGUAAAUAUAAAUAUAUUUUUUUAAACAUUACAAUUUUAUAAAUAUCUAAACAGUAAAAUAAUUUUGUAAUAACCAUUAUAUAAUUAUAAAUAUUAAGAUAUUAAUUAUAGAAAUAAUCAUACAACAUUAAUACCAUGUCUUCUACAUUAUAUAAUUCUAGAAUAUUUACAAAAUCAAAUUUGAUAAAUACUUUAGUAAACCAUCUAUUAAAACAAAAAUAUACAGUAUCUUAAAUUUAUAUUUAUAAAAAUUAUUUAUAAUAACAAUUGUUAUUUAAAAUAAAUUUAAAAAUUAGCAAAAACCUUACAAAUAUUUGUUUCUGUUCAACAGAAAGAAAAAAAACUACACAAAUCGAUAAUAUUAAAUUAGCCAGAAAAUCUCUCUAAGUCUAUCAGAAGUGUCAGCACCUCAACAAAUGUAACUCUUAUAAAACGCCCAUAACAUAUAAUGAGAGAUAGUAACUUUGGGGAUUCAGGUUUUCGGAUCGGGUACAAAUCGGUUUCCUUUGGUGCAUAUUUAUUCAGGUCCUAAAUAAUUUGACCCAACUAAAUAUUUGAGAAAAAUUUGUUAGAGUUCAAGUCGGUUCUUUUUGGAUCUGGGUCAGUUCGAGCUCAUAAUUCAAAUACCUGUAAAAUACAUAUAAAUUAGGUACAUAAUGGAUUUGGAUCGGUUCGGGUAUUUAGGACCAAAAAUACUUAAACUACCCCAAAACCUGAAAAACCGAAACAAAUAAUACACGGAAAUAUUAAAAUACCCAAAGAGGCUCAAAAUUUUCUCCAAAAUAUUACCCGACGAAAAAAAAAUAUGCAAAUUUUUAUCCUAAUACCCGAAAUAUAUUUUUUUAAAAUUUGAAAUUUUACAUAAACCCGAAACUAUAACCGGAAACGCGAACCCAAAUUUCUGUUAAAAAAUAUCUGAAUACUGAAAACAUAUCUGAAAUACACGAAUAUACAUAGUCUACACAAAAAUAUUUCGGGUACUUUGGAUAUUCGGAUUCGAACAGAGACCUGCAUGUCUAAAAAAUCCAAUAUGUAUUUUGCGCUGAUCCUAGACCCGAACUUGUAUUUUGUGUUGGUUUCUCAACAUUUGUUAUACAGAAAUUCAACAUAAAGAAUUGUUAUACGUUUUUAAAUAAUAUAAUAUUAAAAAUGUGGUUAAGUGGUUUUAAAACACCCAAACAAACAUUUUAUAUAGUAAUUUAAACUUUAUAAAUAUCAUAAAACAACAAAUUAAAAUAACAACCACAAAUUCACUUUCAAAACAUAUAUAAACCACAACCUAAAAACUAAACCUAAUUAUGUUUAUCCUAUCCAAAAUCUAACAUUCAAAACAUUAAUUUCACAAAUCUAACAUCCAAAACCUAAAUAAAUCAAGCUAGAAGAGGGUGCAGAUGAUACAUCCUUCCACCUUGCUCAAAUUUUUGACAUUUUUCUUCAAGUGAAACAUAUAACCCUCAAAAAGAUACAUCCAUCUAUACUGCACAUGACCACCAAGUUCCAAUUCUCUUGCGAGAUAAAUAGCAAGAUGUUCCAUAACAUCAAAAAAUAAAGGAGAAAAUAUCCUCUCAAGAUUGCAUUGGAUCAUGGCUAUAUUAUCUUUCAAAUUUUUAACACCCUCUUCAGUGACUGAUCUCGUACAUAAAUUGCGGAAAAAAGCACUUACCCCUACAUACAUAUAAAUAAAACAAAUUCCAUUAUAAGUAUCUUUAUAAGAAUAAUAAAUUAAUAUGACAACCACUCUCGAAUAUAUCAUAUAAUUGUCGAUGCAUACAUCUAUCACCUCAUACGGUAAAUUAAAACCUGCUACAAUUUUCUGAACCUCAUAGUAUGAACCCGGUGCAAUAUUAUCCUCUUGCAUAACACCUCUAACAAAAUCAACAAUCGCAUCCAUGCAUUCUUCAGCCAAAUUAUAAUCCGUCUUAAUACCCAUCAAUCGAGUUGCAGAUGAUAAAAAUGAAUGAUCAUCUCUACAUCCUUUGUGCAAAGAUGGUCUUCCUACUUCCAACAUAUAAAAAAUCUCCUAGCUUCUACAUUGGGUUCGUCCCCUCUAUAAUGGAUUUACCAUCUGCUCAGUACCUACACCAUAAUCUACAUUCUUUCUAGGUUCUUCUAACCUAUCCACAGUAUGAGGUUCGUUAGUACUACCAUAUUCAUAACCAGUAGUUUCUCCAUGAAGAUACCAAACUUUAUAAUUAGGUGUAAACCCUUUCAGAUAUAAAUGAGUCCAAAAUCUCAUUCCUUUAAACCCCUAUUAUUUUUGCAGGAAGAACAAGGACAUCUUAACAUACAUAUUUGCUUUUGUUGUUGUUGAACAAGUGUCAUGAAUUCAGUAAUGUCUUUUGCGUACUCUUCUGUAAGUAAGUUGAUGUUUGGAUCCAUAUGAGGUUUAUCCAUCCACGAACGAAAAUAAUUUGAAGAAGACAUGAUUUUUUCGGAUUUGUAGAAUGAGAGAGUGAAGAGAGUGAAGGGAAAAUGAAGAGUGAAUGAGGUGAAUGAGGCGAGCUCGUAUUUAUUAAAAAGAUGCCGACACUUCCGACAGAAAGGUCGUCGAACAUCUGUUAGAAAUCUAAAAAAUUAAAUGGCUCUAAAACGGUCAAAAAAAUGGCAUCGGAAUUUCGUCAGAAUAUUUUGUAUCACUUGUCGGAAAUUCGUCAAAUAUCCAAUAAUUCAAAAUAUUUGCAAUGGUCAAAAAUGUUCCUCGGAAAUUUUUCGAUAAUUUACGACAAUUUCCUGACAACUUUCAACAUAUUGAACCGAAAAAAUGCUUGUUUAACGGUUAUUUAUUUCCCUUGAUUUUCCGUUGAUAUUCCGUCGACGGUUUUUUGUUUCGUCAGAAUUCCGUAGGAAAAUACCGACGAAUUUCCGACGACUGUCUUAAUUAGCUGUUCCUCGAAUUUCCGUCGGAAAACCCUCAGGAUAUUCCCACGAUUCUUCUCUCCGUCGGGAUUUCCAUCGGAUUUCGCCUAGUUUUCUUGUAGAGCCUGGAUCAAUCUGUUCCAGUUGCUUACCUUUUUCAUUUUCUAUGAGAUCAUUUUUAUUUCUACUUUCCGAUAGUUAUUGGAAGACAAUCUCUUGUUUGACAGUGUAUAGUGUAUACAAAUCAAAAGAUGUGAUAUUGCUCCUAUUUGUCUCUUUCAGUGACAAGAACGGGUCGUUGGUAGGAUUUCACUGACAAUUGAAACGAAGAUUCCAGAGCAGAAGUUCAGACUGGAGAGUAGCAGCUGUGUACGCCAUGGGAGUCUUCAGAACACUGGUGGAAAAUGUCACCAUCUCACUCCAUUAUUGUUGAUUUAAAAAUAGUUUCUUGAAUGGAAAAGGAAAGGAAGUUGUGUCGUCGUUGGUCCUAGACGAAGAAGAUGAGAAGAUGAAUAAGAGAUUGGGCCUAAAGUGUAGAAAGUUUAUAUAGGCCCGCUAUUUAUAUAUUUUUUUGGAUCAUAUCAAGUUCUUAAGCAAGGAAGUAUCAAGUAUGUAGGUAAGACUUUCCCACCGAAUACCUUACAGUAAUGUUAUUAAUUUUUGUCUGCUUUUAUCACUCGUCUCAAUAUCAUAACACCGAAGUGGGAUUGAAAAUUACAACAGCCUAUUUUAUUUAUAUUAAUAAACUCCAUAAAUCUCAAUAGGCCUAGAUCUCAAUAUUAAUGUUUAGGUAGAUGUGGCCGUAUGUUCAUUUAUUUUGUACAUACAGGACUUUCAAUCAAGAUAUAUUCAGGACUUUAUUUAGAUUUGUCCUUAAGUUCGCAUGAACCUGAGAGCACAUGCAUAGCUGCAUAUCUAUGUUUUUAGCCAGAUAGUUCAGCUUUAAACUUUUCUGUAACUUGGUCACCAAAAUUGUUGAGUUCGUUUUUAAUGAUUUAGUCACUACACCAAUAUCGCUCUUUCAUAUACAUUAACAUAAGUACAUUUUUAAUUUCCAAUUGGGUUGGCAUUACAGAACACAAGACGUAAUAUAUUGAGGAUAUGAGUUUACACACGAAACACUAAAAGAGAUUGAGGAGAGAAAGUCUGGGAACACCAAGAAGCCAUAAAACGAAAAACAAGAGAAAAACACUAUUAGAUGGAGCAGGUCCGGCUCUGGGCUAAAGUCUGUAAAGCUUGGGCUUUACGCGCCACACAUUAUAUAUAUUUUAUGGGCACCAAAACUAAAUAAUUCUCUUAGGUGUAGUGGCAUGAAUUCUACUCCUUUAUAUCACAUGUGAUAAUAAUUGAAAGAAUCUAAUUGAUUAUGAUUCCUUUAUUGAUGAUCUUAGUUUCUUUAUAUUGUAUUAAAUGAGAUAGUCAUAUAAAUAGAGUAAAUCAAUUAAUUUCUUUUUCCAAAUCGCUGCCAUUUACGAGAUGCUCUUCAUUUUGGCUCUUCUUUCUGCUUCUUUUAUGCAUUGUUCUGUUUUUCAAUUUUGAGUUGAAUUAAGUUGUUCUUUUUUUCUUUUCUUUUUUUUUUGGUAAAAAAAUUGUUCUUGUCUACUGACAGCAAAAUAAGAGAUCAGCUAGUAAAUUAGAGUAAUCUGAAACCAAAAAUAUUUUCAAGUAACAUGUUAAAUUGUACAUGAACGUUUUAGAAUCAUUGUUUUAUCAAUAUGAUAGAUCAAUAUAUUAGGGUUCUUGAUGACUUUUUUUUUUUGGUUUUAAAAAGCUAAGCUUAUUAAAACUCAAUUUCAUUAUAGAAGUACUUUUGUUUAAGGAAGUUAUUUUCAUUAGAAAAUGCAUAAUUGUUUUAAUGCGCUUUAGGCACCAUAGAACUCCGGACCGACACUGAGAUGGAGUAAGCUUCUAAUAACUAAAAUAAAUUAAUUCUUUGUAUACCAAGUGCUGCUUUUAUAUUUUUCUUUAAUUUUUGCCAAAGAGCAUCUGCUUUUAUGUUUCAUGGUUUCUUAGAAAUAUAGAAAAGAGUGAUUAUUCCUUUAGCUUCCUGUAAGCUAAACUUUCCACCCUGAAAAAGAAAAACAAUAAUAAAUAGCUACAAUAAUGAUUAAAAUACAUAUUAUUUCAGAUUCAGUUUUUUUUAUAUAUUGAGAAAAUGUCAACAGCAGUAUACUAUUGUGAUUUUUUUCUAUUGGGUGUGUGCUCGCGACUGUGGAUCUUCUAAAGCGGAAGCUAGGGUUCUCAGGUAUUCAUGGGCUUUGGACCAUUUUGUGGGUCUUCCAAUUACGCAUUUCUUAGUUUCAAGUCCAUUAGGAGUUUCCAGCUUUUUGUUUUAUCUUUUUUUUUGUUUCUGCACUUUUUAUAUGUAAUAAAAAAAUCUAUUUAUUUUUAUAAAAAAACUUUUAAAAAAGCAAUAAGCAAAAAAGUCAUUAAAUUGUAACGUUUUUACGAAGGAACGAGAACUAACUUGAAGAAAACAAUGAAUUCUAACAUCGCAUCCUGACACUGGAGCCUGUCGAAAACUUAUAAUAUUGUUUCUCAAGUCUGAGAUAAAAUAGAGGUCAGCUGAUAUCUUUCUUUGACAUAUUUACAUAUAAAAAGGAUUGAGCCUUUCCCUUUUAUAUAUAUACGAGAAUCGUCGCCAAACCUUAUCUUUCUCGUGACCCUCUCAUCAAUUUUAGAAAGUAUGCACGAUUUUCAGUCAUGUGGUUACUACCUCCAUUGUCUAAGUACCACAUAUUGUCUAUAUCUGAGUGCGUUUCAAACUUGCUUGGUGUUCUCUUCAUUGAGGUACACCACCUCAUGCAUCAUUAUCAGCUUCUUGUGUAUUUGCAUCAUCAUUCUCAUGCGUUUCUUGGAGCUUAAGUAACCUACUGGAACAGUUGAACGUAUAAUGCCCUGUUUUGUCACAUCGAUAGCACACCAUUUUGGAUUUAUCCUUUCCUUGUCUGUAACCCGAGUUUUGUUGGUUGCCGUAGCGUCCACGCCCUCUUCCUCUGUUAAGAAAACGUCCACCUUGGUUUCUACUUCUCCCCGAAUGUAACUUUUUUGAUACGGUGAUGAGUCCAUGUUAGCCUCAUAAGUUUUCCUUGAUCCCUUGUUUAUUUUUUUUGAUAAGUUUGAUCCCUUGUUUAUCCUCAUCACAAAUCAUUUCCUCAUAAGGUUUCAAUCUUCCUACAAUAUCCUCAAAAUGUGUUGUAUUAAAGUCAAGAAUUAGUUCAAGAGCAGCAAUAAUAUAUGUAUGUAUAUAUUUCUUUCGUAGUAGACUAUUAAAAAACUUCUUAACGAGCUUUGAUUCUUCAAUAUUCUCUCCCAAAGAUUCUGAUUUCGUGAAUAACUCCAAAAGUUUACUAACAAAAUCAUCAAUCAUGUCAGGUUCUUUCAUCUUCAUUCUAUCAAAUAGUAUCAAUAUCGGUCAUAAAGAUUUGUUGCAUGGCGUCUUUUACUCUAUUAGCUUCUACAUGUCUAGCUUUUAUUGCUUCCAAAACUGCUUUUGAGGUUUUGAGGUUUCUAACUUAUAAUAUUAGUAACUCUGUCUGGAUUGAAAAAGGAGAGCACUAGCCAGAUCAUUCUUAUCUUCAUCAUAUGUUCCUGGAUUCAUGAUGUUCAAUACUACUAACUACACGGUAUGUGCUAUGCGAGUGAGAGUAGCCCUCAACAGGGGCGGAUGCAGCAUAUGAGGAGGGUGGUCAGCUGACCCCAUUACUUUAAAAAAAAAAUUAUUGUUUUGUUUUAAGCAAAAUUUGUGUUGACCCCACUAAAAAAAUAAUUUUGACCCAAAAAAAAUAAUUACUAAACACUGAAGAUAAAAUUUAAUUAUACAACUAAAAUAAUUAUACUUUAUAUCAUUGAAACUUUGGAGUUAUAUUAGUUUUAAACUCAUUUUUUUGAUAAUUAUCCAAAAAUAUAAAAUCCCUAAAUAUGUUUUGUUAUUUUAAUCUUUAGUAAUAUGUUAGUUUACUCCCAAAUUGUAUUAGGUCCAACUAAUUUACAAUAGAGAAAUAUUAUAAAACAAGUAAACAUAAAAAGAAAAGAAAAUAUGUUCCUCUUCCUCGGGAACAGAAGAUGACGGCGGACUCUUAACUCGUGCUCUAUAAUUAUUUUUUAGUUAAAUUUUUGGUUGGUUUUUUAUAUUUUUAGCCAAUAAAACUGUUAUAAAAAAGUUUUAAGCUAUAAGUGUGCGUAGAGUAGAACUGCAAUAAUCAUGUGGUUCGGUCUGAGAAGAUUUUAGAGAUAGAGAUAGAGCUUUGUUUUUAUUCGUUUUUGCUAUUCUUUUCUUGAAAACUUUAAAAAUACAAAACACUAUAAACAAAGAAGCGGUCAUUGAACGUCUUUUGUUUGAAUAAAUUUUUACAUUCAACAGAAAAUGGAGUAUGCCUAAAGUACAUGUAGUUUUUUGUGGUAUAUAAAUUAUAUUUUUGAUUUUUUUCCGACCCCGGUACAAAAAUUUUCUGGCUCCGACACUGGCCCUCAAGGUGCAUAAGGUAUGGGAGACUAUACUCCUAAAUAUACAAAGUAAUCUUAAUCCUCUUAGAAAACAUUAUGAUAACUUAUUACUCAAGCUAUUUUUUAAGCUUAAGUCAACAACGCACGCAUCAAAGUGGUCCUCCGAGGUUAGUGUAGGCUAUGUAGCCCACUCUUUUUUUUUUUUUUUUGUCUCUUGUUCCUAUUGUUAACGGUUUACAAUGGUUAUGUAAGAAAAAGAUAGAAGCUUUCGUUGUUGUAGAUGUUUGGUGGAAGAAAUUUGGGUCCUUUGGUUACUGUUGCUUUCAUACAUUAAUUAAACUCUGAAGAAGACUUAUACUUAAUUGUGUUUAUUAUUGGCCACAGCUCUCUCAAAGAUUUAACCUUUGCCUACAAUUAGGUUAAAAAACCCAUCAUUAGAGUUGAUUGAAUAAAUGUAGGUCGCGAAACAAAAAAAAGAAUCUUGAAAUUCGUUACAGCAAAAAAAAAAAAAAAAAGAUUCAUUAAAUUCGAUAAGCUUUGCUUAUUUCUAUUCAACAAGUAAAGAGAAGACAGGAACAGAGCUCUCUUCAAACAAUCAGACAAGAAACAAAAAAAUGAUAAAGCUUUGCUUCAUGACUUCUUAUGGCUACUCAAUAGCUGGCCUUGGUCUUCCUUAUGAGUUCAGUAACGCCGAUAUCAUCAUCAAGAAGAGCCAGUCUUAUCUUGUGAAACACGGAACCAUCUCCAUGAAGAGGAAAACUAAAGAGAGAGACCUCUACAAAAGGAACCAUCUCCAUGCUUACGAGAGCCUUUUGUCUUUAAUGAUAGGCAAUGAUCAUCAACACAAACAAACAACAAUACAGAGAUCAAGCAGAGAGAUAUCAGAGAUUCUUACUCAGUUUUCUAUCACCGCCGCCGGAGCUGGAAUCGCUGUGCUGUUCUCAGUUGUCUAUAGGCUUGCUUCAAGGCGUGUACCCUUCUGCGCAAACAAGUUUGUAGACACUGGACUUGGUUUCAGUUUGGUAUUACUGUCAUGGGCUGUAAAUAUACUCAGAGAGGUGAUUAGGAAAGCAAACAAGCAAUGCUCAAGUUUGAAGGGAGAUGAAAUCAUAAAGAAUGUGGAGAGAGGCAUCAAGGAAGUUUACUUCAGAGCUGCCACUGUAAUCAUAGUGUUUACCUUUAGGUUUGCUUGUUGAGUUGCUCACAAGUUUUGUAAGAAUCUCUUCCAUUGAUUUUAUGAAAAUAAAAUAUCAUCUCUGAUUAUUUUAGCUAAAUAAAAUAGAAAUUCGGAAUAAUUCAAUAUCAAAAAUACUAAACAAUGCAGUGAGAAUAUGAAGUGUCUCUUUUUAAGGUUUUCACAGUCUCUCUUUGUUAUUUGAUCUAAAUAGUUGAAAUAUGAAGGGUCGGAGCUUGCGAGCAGCGACUAGCAGGGCUAAGGCCAACCUCUCAAGAUGGCUAUAGCGGGUUUCCGCAUCCAGGAGAGCCUUGCUUGCGUAAUAGACUGGUAGUUUGUGAACACUGUCCAAUUUUGCCUUCACUUCAUCCAUAUGAUCAUUCCCAAAGAUGGUGGCAGAUUUCUUCUUCUUAAAGUCAGUGUUCUUGGUGCUGCUACUACAUGCUAGGUUCUCAAUACCUUCACUGCCUCCUCUGGAUUUCUGGUGUUGAAGUUUCUAUUGCUGGAAGCAUCAAGAGCCAUCUGGUACUGCACCGCGAUGCCUCUGUAGAAAGUACUGAGCAACUGUACUUCAUUAAAUCCAUGGUGUGGACAGUCUCCCUGAUAAGACUUGAAUCUGAUCCAGGAGCUUUUGAAUGACUCUGGACGCUCCUGAGUAAAUGUAGCAAUCUUGCUCCUCAAGUCUUCAGCACGCGCUUCAUCGAAGAAGUUGCAUAAGAAUGCAUUCUUGGUUGCGCCCCAGGAUGUCAGAGAUCGUGGUGGUAACUCCUCAAGCCAAUGCGAAGCAUCUCCAGCAAGUGAGUACUUGAAGAGCUUGCAUAGGAGGUAGUCUUCAGAGACUCCCUCGACUUUAAUAGCAGAUAUAAGAUCCUCGAACCUCUCCAUAUGGUCCAUAGGAUGCUCGUGAGAUAACCCAUAGUAGGGUGUCUGUCCCACGAGUGUGUAGUACUGUGGCUUUAACUCGAAAUCCCUCUAAAUAGUGGGAGGACGAAUGGCUGACUGGUUGGUGUAGAACUGAUUUGGAUGGUUGUAGUCAGCCAACGUUCUGGUUCGAGCAGCCUCAUCUACAGGUAGAGUAGCGCAUGUAGCAUCAGUAUCGGACUCAGGGAUUGCAGCCCCCUGAGCAUUAAUCCUCUGACCUGCUGCAUUACGCAGAUAACCCUCCUGGUCAUGCAGGUUUCCUCUAUCAUCUCGUACAAGUAUCAAAGUAGCAACCAUGUCUCGCGGCUCAGUAUCGAUCGAUGUUCGGACUGAAGUAUCGAUCAAUGUCGGAUGGAAGAUGUCAGUCGACGGAAUAUGAGUGUCUUAUGUCGAUAGUGGUGAGCGAGUGUCGAUCGAUGGGACUAGUGUCUGGGUCGACGGUGGUUAACAGAAAUCGAUCGAUGAACAGGGGGUGUUAUCGAUCGAUAAGGACGUGCUUCUUUGCGGAUUGAACGCUCCAAGCUUGCAGGAUCUGGGGAGAAUAGUAGUUAAGUUUCCUUGUUGCUUCUACUACUGCUGGGCAUGUACCUGAAAAUCCAAGAAUAGAUUUUAUGUCAGAAACUUAACAAAAAUUAAAACAGUAGGCGAUCAAAGCUCCCCGGCAACGGCGCUAAAUUUGGUAUCACUAAAAUUACCCUAAGGAGUGAUUUAUACUCUUUCAAAUAAGAGGUCGAGUUGUAGUACUUAGAUAUCGAAUUGACAGGGAGCUAGGGAACUUAUUGGAUCUAAUAUGAUUUGUUAAGUAGGAAGUUUUCAAGAUUUAAAAUGUAAAUUUGCAGUUUUGGUUGAGCAAGUAAUUGCUCGAUUGAUUGGUUGAGGUUUUUGGUGCUUAAAAGGAAAUAACUAGACUUAGAGAUUCUAUUCUGAUAACUUGGAAUUAUAAUCGUACAGAUGCCUAAUGAGCUGCAUGCAUGAUAAUGUAAAGCUCAACUAUCAAUUCAACAAGUCCAUCAGCUAUCGCAUGUUUGAACUUGUCUAUUAACUAGAUCUAAUAACCCAAACAAAUGUGUUCGAUCAAUAGAAGUGUCGAUCGAUGAUCCUAUAGGGAUGUCGAUUGAUACACCUUUUGCUCCGUCGAUCGAUUAUCCAAUAUGAAUAUCGAUCGACGCGCUUCUACUUAAGCUUUAUGUGCGGGUUGAAUAAUGUUUUACUAAGCUCACUAGAUCAGCUCUCGCCUUACUCUUAGCAAGAAACUUAGCUCAGUUAGAAUGUUUUCAGGAUGAGAAUGAAGCUCUCGCUUUUAUCUAUUAAUCCUAGGGCAAGUUCUAGGUAGCUAAUCUAGAAACAUACAUUAAUGAACAAUCCUAAUGACAAUUACCACAACUCAGCAAUCUAUAGUUGGGGCUAAUCCCUCAUAACCUAUUUAAACCCUAAAUCUAACAGUGAAACUACUCAGACAUGGCCAAGCAAUUCAUGAAAGCAAUUAUGUUAGAAAACUUCAUUGAAUAGUAAAAUAGAUAUUAAUAGAGUUCCAAUCACAAAUUAUAACUUUGGAUCUUCUCUCCAAUCUAUCACAAUCCUAAAACCUUUUUCUGAAAGUAAUAAAAAUAAAAACACAGAAAAGCACCCCUUUGCCUCUAACAUGGUGGCAAAGCUUAUAUAGUUAGGUUAAAACUCGUCAGGGGUAAUCUUGUAAAUUGGUGAAGAUUUGGGCUUCAAGUCGGCUGUGACCAAACCGGCUUUCUGCGCGCUUCGCUGUCGAUCGAUGUUCAGGUGUGAACAUCGAUCGAUAUUCCUCCUCCAAAAUCGACCGAUGGUCGAGCUCGAUGGUCAUCUCGGGUGCUUGCUCCAAAUAUCUCCAAAAUGUGCUAAAAUCAUCAUUUAUUUCCAAAUCACUUUUGAUCUUAUAAAUAUAAUAAAUACUCUAUAAUAUAAUAAUAGAUAGUAAAAACACCUAUAAACCAUGGAUGAAAAUGAGUCAAAUCCAUGGUCUAUCAACUAAUCAAAGCUCUCAUUGAGUUAGAUCAGGGGAAAUAGAUCUAUCAAAACGACGGCGAUUCAAGAUGUUUGGCUGAUACUUGUGAUAUUGCCACUUAGUCUUCUCCUUCCUGUUGUCUCGGGUCGUUCUCCAAAUCUGGGUUUGAUGCUUACUGGGAUUCAAUCAGCAGUAGGAGAGAAUGAAGUCGACAGGUAUGGAACAUGGUCCAGAAAGUUGCUUGAAAAAAAUCAUCUUUGCGAUGUUCAGACACAUCAUCUCUCGACUCUUGACUACGCGGCGGAGAGUGAGCAUCAGAUGUUUCUAGCGAAGAUGUCCCCAUAGCCAAAGGCUAUCUAAGCAUUAUCCAUCCCUUGGCUUAUGUUCUUCCUUAAGGUGUUAUCCAGUUGAUUCGAACGGUCACGAAGAUGAGUGGUAGAGAGUAACCAUGAUCAUCCUGUGAAGCUCCAUUUCUCAGAUGGGUCUACUGUGUUUGCAGAUCAUGUUACUUCACUUUCUCUUUAGGUGUGCUUGAGACAAGAUUGAGAGUAAUGAUGGAGGAGGACGGUUGCCUGAUUUCAAAUCAGAUGCUAUCAAGAGGUUCAUUGUUUUCUUUCCUCAAUAAAAACAUUCUUCUGCGUUUUUCAUAACUUGCAUAUCUAUCUAUUAAUCAUUUUCUAUGCCAUUUCUGCUACACUUCUGAUAUACCAUGGAUUUGAUCCAUUUUCACCCAUGGUAUAUAAGUAUUUUACUAUCUAUAUACUAUAUAUUCUACCCUAUUAGGUAUGUUUUCAGGUUCAGAAGUAUCUUGGAGUAAAAUGAUGAUUAUGGAGCAUUUAGGAGCUUAAAUGAGUAUUCAUCUGAGCUGUCCAUUAGAGGUCGAUACAAAGAAGACAUAAUCAAUCGAUGCACAUCCAGUGUCGUCGAUCGAUACAUAAGAGAAGCCUCGACAAUUGAAGAUUAAGAUCGAUCGAUGUACAUCUUGUACCAUCGCUCGAUGUCGAGACGCGGAAGCACAACUUGGUUCCAGUCGACUUUAAACCCAAGACUUCAACAAAUUACAAGAUUACCUCUGACGAGUUUUUAAACUAAUAGAUAUAUACUUGCCUAAGUGUUAGGAGGCAAGAGAGCUUUUGGCCACCUUUGUAUUAUUAUUUUUAGCAGAGAGUUUUAGGAGAGAAGAUCAUUGAGAGAUUUGUGAUUGGAACUCCAUUGAUUCAUCUAUUCUAUUCUAUGCAGUUUUUAUUUAUAUUUUGUGUCAUGAAUUUCUUAGCUAUGUCUGAGUAGUUUACUUGUUAGAUUCAGGGUUCAAAUAGGUUAGACGGAUUAGCCCCAACUAUAGAUUGCUAGGUUGUGGUAUUCAUUGAUUGAUUGUUCUUAAUGCUUGUUCUAGAGUAGCUACCUAGAAUAUUAAAUCUAGGAAUCUGCAUGAGUCAAGCAUCCUUGACCAUCCAGUCCUUAACAUAAUCUGUCAUACUAGACAACUGGAAAAAGGCUACCGCUGAACUAGAAAGCUAGUGAACAUUAUCAACUUACUGUCUUCUGACAAUCGAUCGAUAUUUGUGAAAGGUGUAUCGAUCGAUAUCCAUAUAGGACCAUCGAUCGAUACUUUCUUGUGAUCAAUAUACGACAGUUGAGAUCCAAGAUCUAGUUAGUUAACCAGUGAAACAUUGACAUUGCUGAUCACUGUAUCUAAGAGGUUGAGCUCUAAUAUAUCAUGCAUGCAACUGAUAGACAUCUACAGGAUUAUAAUCUCCAACACCUGAAUAGAAACCAUGCAUCUAAUAACUUUCCAAUAAGUUACACCCCCAAAUCAUCUUGUUAGUCGAGCAAUAGACUUGCUCAAUUAGGAUUGCUAUUUACUUUAAAACCGUAAAACAAUAAACACUUAGAAUUAAUUAAUUACUAGAUUUAAUAGGUUCCUAGCUCCUUGUGGAUUCGAUCCCUAAGUACUACAAUUGAACCCUUAUUUGAGAGAGUAAUUCACUCUUUAGGGUUAUUUUAGCGGUAUCAACUUCAUUUUCACGUACGUGGUCGGAGCUAGAGAACAGAGGUAGCAAAUACAAAUAGAAAAGGAACCUGAUAGCCUAACUUCUUGAAUGGCGUUGACUGUCUUUACGAUUUAUUAUGUCCACCUCGAAUGUCUCAGUUCCACGGUAAUUUCUUAACUCUUUACUGUGAGAUAGACCAUGUUCGGUGGCUAUUUGUUUGGUUGUUUUACUGGCUGUUUUCAAUUUCCUCUAGCAUGUCAAGAAAUGGUUUUCGCCUAGCCUCACAGAUUGUUUUAUUGAAAGAUUCAUUGAGUUUGUUCAGAUUAUCACUGCAACAUGAUCCAACCUUUUAGAAAGCCCGCGACCAAGUGUGAGGAUUGGUGACUUGAAGGGUUUGAUGCGCCACUGCAUUGUACCUCUUAAGCUCAUUCAUUUUCUCUUGAAAGUCUCCAAAAGUGUAAUUGCGAGGUAUUUUCCAGAAUAAUCUCUCUGGCUGUGGAUCAUGGCUGUCUCUCUUCCACUUUCCAAGAAUGUGUCUUGCACACAUUUGAUGUUCUGCAUUAGGAAGCUCUAGAUGAACAACUUUUAUUAAACCCUUCAAAACAACGAGAACAACACAUUAAUAGCCUUAUUAUUUUGCUGUUAAACAAGAACAACGCGGAUAACACAAUAUAUAGCUUUACCUUUUGCUUGUCAGAUGUGAUUGUCAAGUUGCUUCCAUCACAAAGAUCCAAAUCUCUCUUAAGAUGAUUGACAAACCAUUGCCAGUUAACAGUCCAAGCGAUUGGCACAAUUCGAUUAUCUCCAUCUCUUCCAACAGCAAGCAAUUGGCCCCUUACAUCUCAUUUUAGAAAAGCUCCAUCAAGACCUAUAGUUAGCCUAAGAGUGGACUUCCAAGCUGCUCGAUGUGCUUCAAAACAUACAUAGAAGCGAUCAAACCUUUGCUUACUUCUUGGUGUUGCUCCUGGAAUGGUAAUUAUAUUUGUAAGGGUGUCUAGAUUAGCCUUACGAAGCUCGGCUUCAUAAUCCCAAAUGCGUGAAAAAUGACUCUCAUGGCUUGCUCGUCUUUCCAUAGUUACUUUAGUCUUCGCCUUUCGACAUUGCUCAUCAGUUACUGUCAACUUUUAGGUCAGUUUGAACUUCACCAAUCUCUACAGCCGUAAGCUUUGGGUUCAACCUCAAUCUUUCAGAAAACAAAUGAGCAAUAGAUGAACUCUUCAACAUUUUGGAUUAACCAAACCUUACACAAGCAUGCUCAUUGAUAUAGACCUUUAUCUGCAGCUUAUGCUUCCUCUUUUCAUAUGAGCAGUACACUCUCCAAGGACAUCAUCGGGUACAGGUUCACGCUGCUCUUUGUGACCCUCAAUCUUGUUGCUUUUAACCACAAGUGGAGGUUCGGAUUCUCGAUCUUGUUGACGAUGGACAGGUAGCUUUUUUCCUUCUCAUAUUGUUCAUAUCAGACUUGAUUUGGCUUCUGAAGCAAACAUAGAGAAUAGAUAGGUGAGAAAUCGAUUUAUGGGUUAGAGUUCUUCUGAUUUUGAUUUUGGGAAUUGAGUUACGUGUUUCUAAUUUUUAAAACGCAUUGUUUCUAUUGUCGUGAACAGUAAACAUAAACAGAAAACGGCUAACUAACGAUAUUUAUCUUUGACUAAACUCAUACCUAAAUUGGCUAGGUCAAAACAAGUUUGAUAUUUUUUUAGAUUAAUGAAAAGUCUGUAUUUUUUGGCAAAUUUGAGUAAGUUCGGUAUUUAAAUACAUAUUUUCUCUCAUUUUUAUUGCCAUUUUGAACAUUAGGAACACAUAUUUCAUAUUAAAUAUAUAUAUAUAUAUAUAUAUAUAUUUCAAAAAUAGCAAACUUGAGACUUGAGAGUGAAAACAGAGCAAUAAUUAUAAAAUUCCCAUGCAAAUAGGUCAUUAGUUAACACAUUACAAGGAAACUUAGUUACAGAAGUUGAAAUAAUCUUAUCUUACUCACUCUUCAUCACUCUCCAUUGAUCUUGAAACACUAUUGAUAUACAAAUGGAUGUGUUCUUCGAGACUCAGAGAGGCUCAAAAUUCUCCAUUGAAGUGGGUUACUGAAGGGCCCCAACCCGGCUGCCUAAGCCGCGGUCGAUGUCCUUCGUCCCUCAGACCACAUACUGGUGAACCUCCUAAUUUUAGCCAUACUUCUAUAAGUUCGCCCUUAGGCGAUGGCUACCUUAGACCUUAGCUAGGGACUUUCAUAACAUUGGAUCUCAAUCCAACCAUACACUUAACCGGUUUAAUCAUAUAUGCUCUAGUUAGCUCAACUAACUAGCCUUCAGCUUAGAGAUCAGUUCUUAACUCGGUUCAAGUCUAACUAUCUGAGGUUCCAUUCCCCUAAUCCAUUCUAUCUAGAACUAAGCAAGAGUUACUUGAUCAUACCUUUGCCACAUUCACGGAGCUUGUUAGCUCAUUGUCUCAGCUGACUUAGCUCUCUCUUAUUCCUGCAUAAACUCUUCCUUUUAGUACUUAGUCAUUCAGCCAACCAUCCCCACAGACCAAGCACCUUUGGGAAGUCUUCAGCUACAAAAACAACCUCAAACAAACAUGCUCCAUAAAUUAAUUAAAAUUCAUAACUCAUGAUAAAUCCCAACUAAGAUAUUCCCAUAAUCAGAAUCCAAUGUAUCGACCCGGAUCAUAUGGAUCCUGAUCAUGAACGGCCCGGCUAUGUCAAGGACUUCAUUCCAGAAUCGGCCCAAGGCCUUAGUUCAUUGCCUCCAUGUCUUAAGCGUAUGCUCUCCUGGAGCCAAGUCCUCUUAUGGACUAAUAAUGCCCAUCAGAUCCUAAGUCAAUCAACCAAACACCCCACAUGACUCAGAACUGAUGAGUCUUCACACUUACCUAACCGGCCAUGGAACCAUGUCCCAAUGAACCCGAUUGAUCUUGCUCUUACAACCGGUGUGUCCUUUGAUCCAUCAGAUCAGACACCUUGAUCCAUCACCUAUGGAUCAGGUCGUCCAUCCUUGCCCAAGACCAGAUCACACACGACUUUCCUUGGAUAAACACACCCGGCUCCAUACUUGUGGUCCAUGCCAAUUAGUACUGGCCUUACUCGCCUCCACGGCUUGCUGCUGGUUCCAAACGAAUCGGACCUUGCACUCCACAUGGUUCCUCAUAUACUAGGACCCCCAUGUGUCUCCUCCAUGAGUCGGAUCAUUGAUUCACACAAUGAUCAGAAUCAACACACACCAUGAUCCACCAUUGAUCACUAUCCAAUGAGUGGCACUCUAAUUCCAUCCCACAUGGAUGAGUUAGAUCAACUAAGCUCCGCCCUUCUCUCAGGGUCCUGGAUCCUUAGUGUACAUCACAACAUAUGGUCUUCAAGGGGCGUACCAUACUUGGCCUUAACCGCACCACAAAAGACAGAAAUAUGAACUGAAAAGUAAUUAUAAAAUUGGUUAUCUUAUACAUGAUCUGUCUAGAUCAUGUGCCUUCUUUAUCCUUUAUGUGAAUGGACAUGAUCCUACAAUCCACGCCUUUUUCAAGCCCUUAUCAUAUACUUCCAGUAUUGAAAGAUCCAUAUAAGGGUCGCUCAUCUCUUCCCUUGAACUUCCAUGAAAUCAGUUUCUACACUGCAUCCACCUUUGAAGAUGUUCAUGCCAUUGAGAGUGAAGUCCGGCCUUCUUCCUACUCUCCUGGAUAUUUGUGUGUAUCUCCAAUACAUAGAGGAAGCCUAGGAUGUGAUCAUCCAUGAUAAAACACCAUCACAGGGUCGUUCCCAACUCCCAUGAAACUGCCUUCCCACGCACCUCUCCCCUUAAGACUAUCUUGGCCAUAGGAAGUGAAAUCCGGCCAUCCCACUUUUUCCCUGAAUUUUUGCGUGUGUUCUUAGUCCCUGGAGGAUGUUUUGGGUGUUAUUAAAAUGAAUCAAAACCCAUCAAAGGGUCGUUCAUAACCUCCCCUUUGAUCUCUCCAAAAACUGCCUCUUUAUGGCCUUCAAACCACUCUUGGUUUUGGAUGUUGAAUCCGACCAACUCUCUGUCUUUUUUCUGUUUUUCUUUGUGUUUCAGGGUGUAGGAGGAAGCCCUGGCGUACCUGCAAAGCCACGGAACCAUCCUCCUUCUAUAGGAGAAAGGGUGGUUACUUUUCUAAACAUUGCAUCCCUUCUGUUUAGGGAAAAUUUCCCGGUAUCAUUUCCUCCAGCCUCCAGGCAGGACCUAGACCCUCGGGUCCCCGAUAAAGAAAAGCUCCAGGUCCCCGCUAGAAGGAACCUUGAGUUCGGUCCCUGGAACCGAGCUCCAUUCCAAGAAAUGGAAACUUCCGAUAAGGAGGAAGACCGAAUCGGGUUUAGGGUUAAGUCCAGUAUUACGGUGUCUCUCAUUUUCAUCGUCUCCCUCUUCUCUCCGGAAGGCGAUUUUCAACCCAACCGGUCUGUUCUCGCUCAAUCCACACCGCUCUGUCCUUAUAUAAAAACCUUCUCUGCCGCUUCCAAUCAAAACCAGGUAUGUGUUCCUCCUAUGUCCUCCGUUUUGAGAGUUAGAUGAAUUUUUUGUCAUUCUCGAUCAAUCUCCUCUGUUUUGGGGAUUGGUUGGAUUAUCAUUCUCGAUCAAACCUUUUCCGCCGCUUCCAAAACCUUUUUUUCCUUUUUUCUUUUUAAAUGGCAUCUUCAUCACAUUACCAUUACCACCAAGAUGAUGAUGAUGCUAAUUUUAAAACUCCCUUUGAAGAAUUUUUUGAAAACGUUACUCUUAUUCCAGAACCGAGAAAGAGAAAAAAAGCGUAUUUUUAUCGAGAGAAAUCGAGAAGAAGGCCACGAUAAACUCUGGCAUGAUUAUUUUAGUGAAACUCUAACAUAUCCUCACUAUUUAUUUCAACGACGGUUCCGAAUGAACAAGCAUUUGUUCAUGCGUAUAGUGCAUCUUCUCUCUACAUAAGUUAAGUAUUUUCAACCAACAGAAGAUGCAGUCGGACGGUCUAGUCUAUCACCGCUCCAAAAAUGCACUGCAGCAAUUCGUCAAUUGGUUUAUGGUGGUGGAGCUGAUACAGUGGACGAAUAUGUUCGACUUGGUGAAACAACGGCUCAAAAAUGUCUGCACAACUUUACCGCCGCUAUAAUCCACUUGUUUGGCGAUGAAUACCUAAGACGUGCCACACCGGAGGAUCUUGAGAGACUACUCUAUAUUAGAGAACAACGUGGAUUUUCCGGAAUGGUUGGAAGCAUUUAUUGUAUGCAUUGGGGGUGGAAGAAUUUCUCUACCGCUUGGAAAUGAAUGUAUUCACUAGAAACCGAUAAACCAACAAUUGUGUUAGAGGCGGUAGCUUCGUCUGACCUCUGGACAUGGCACGCGUUUUUUGAGCCCUAGGUACCAUGAACGAUCUUAAUAUACUUGAUCGAUCACCUAUUUUUGAUGAUAUUAUUAAUGGAAUAGCUCCACAAGUGAACUUCUAUGUCAACGGAAGGGAGUAUCAUUUGGCUUACUAUCUCACAGAUGGGAUUUAUCCAAAAUGGGCGACUUUUAUUCAAUCUAUCUGGCUACCACAGGGUCCAAAAAUUUUAUUAUUUGCUAAAACCCAAGAAUAUGUGUGAAAAGAUGUAGAACAUGCCUUUGGAGUCCUGCAAGCUAGAUUUGCCGUUGUUAAAAAUCCUUCUAAUUUAUGGGAUAAAAAUAAAAUAGCAAAUAUUAUGAGAGCAUGUAUCAUACUCCAUAAUAUGAUUGUCGAAGAUGAACGUGAUUCAUACACUCGGUAUGACGUUUCAGAAUUUCAACAAGGUGAGGGUGCUGAUCUUACAUAUUCCGUCGAUAUGCCUACAAAUCUCGGCAAUGCAAUUGAUCGUCGAACAAGAGUUCGGGAUAAACAAGCCCAUCAACAAUUAAAAGAUUAUUUGAUUGAAAACAUAUGGGCUAAAUUUGGACAUCUUCCAAAUAACAUAUACUUUAUAUGUUUUUAUGAAUUGAAUAAAAUGUUUCUGAUGUUUGUAAUUUUAUUUUUUUUGCAUCUUUGUAAUUUUCUUAUGUUUUCAAUUUUAAUAUAUGUUUUAUUUUAAACUUAUUUUUAUAUGUCAUUACUUAUUAAAAUAAACAAUUAAUUUACUAAGAUACAACUAAAAGUCCUAGCAAUAAUCUAAAUUUUAGAGGUUGUGUCUUACCAUUAUAUCUUAACAUAAAAAUAAUACUAAAAUAAGCUAAGAACUCAAAAUAAAGUCCUAGCAAUAAUCUUGCUCUUAUAAUCUAGCCAAUUCAGUUAUGGCAUUUUGCUACCCAGCAAUUCCAAAGGAAAGCGGGGCCACCCUCGAUUAAAUUCCAUGACGCUAUCCAUUUUUAUAAAAUGAGCAUAGUAAAUCUUCAUGAAAGCAACAUAUCCCUAGUUAUUAAGUCGUGCCACGACAAUAAACAAUAAUUUUAUUACAUUAUUGACAUGUGCAUGUGGCACAUGUACUUUAUUGAUUUUCAUACAAUAGAAAGACGCACAUCACUGCUUAUCACACAAACAUAACUCAACUAGUCAAAACCCCUUAUUUAGUAGUACAACAUAGUUCUUGAUAUUAUUUGAAUCUUAAAACUAUCAAAAUAUUCUUGAAACUCCCGUAACCAAGCUCAUGCUUCAGAGACGGCGCAAUAA